rnacentral:sRNA from 1 species
AUUCCAGGCUCCUCCCUGUGUCUUUGCUGUUCUUCAGACUCCAUUUAUAGAGAAUGAGGGCUGAUAACAGGAAUACAGCGGUAAAGACUAGACUGUGGAAAGGGUUCCAGAAAUCUUUUUUUCUUUUUUAAUUAAAAAAAAUAUUUGCAGAGAUGAGCUCUUGCUAUGUUGCCCAGGCUGGUCUCAAACUCCUGGGCUCAAGCGAUCCUCCCAUCUCAGCCUCCCAGAGUGCUGGGAUUACAGGUGUGAGCUACUGCGCCCAGCCCCAGAAAUCUCAGUGCUGUUUGGAGCUCCAUUUCUCAUUUGAUGACUUGCUCUGCGUGGGGAGGUGGGGUCUCAUUCCCCCAGCUUCCUCAGGGAGGACCCCUGCCCUCCGCUGCUCCUCUGUCCUGCUAGCCUUCCUCCAGGAAGCACACUGGGUGCAGAUAAUCAGGCCAUUCCAGAGAGCCCCAAUUUAAGAGGGUCAUUUCCAUCUCAGGGGACUCCCGCAUGGGUGUUUCCGCUCUCAGUAGCCCCUCUUGUUUUACCAGGAAAGAUCCAGUUAAAUCACCCACUGAGGUGACAGCUCAUUAGCGGGGAGAGAGAUGGAGCAUCGAGUGACGCUGGGCCAUCCAGGCGGCUCUGCUCCCACCAGACAGGAGCUAGGCCUCACUGGCAGGGGGGCUGCCCACAGCCUUUUCAGGGGCUCGCUUGGCGGGUGACAGGGCCACAGCCAGGCCUUCUCUCCCUGCCCCUUGGUGACCCCGUGGCUUCCUGUCUGCUGGCCUCUCCUGCUACUUAUCACUUCACCACGAACUCUCUGCCUGAGACUGGGGAAGUAAGCGGGUAUCUUCUCAGUGAGCAUAGGUUGGGGACUGUGAUCUUGAGAAGCCAUGGGCCAGCAAUACCUGCUUUUCUGAAACCCCCAAGGAGGGCUCUGACAUUCUUUUUAAAAACACCACAAAGCAAAAUUCCCAGGACACGUGUAGUUUUGUUUGUUCAACAUCCCACAACUUAAGGCUGGGAGAUGGAAUUCUUGGUUAAGGUCGAUUUUUCUGUCUGGCUUCUCCCGCACCUUCCACUUGCUCUCUGGAUCAGGCAGAUAUAAACUUUCUAGCGCAUUUUGAGAGAGGGCUUUCUUGGGUGAGGGAGCAUGGCGAAGUUGGUUUCUCUCUGGACUGUUUACACUUCAAGGCGGUGGAUUUAAAGGAAUCCUGGCUUUCAUUUUCAAUGCCAGUCUGAGACAUGUUCCCAAGCCGGGGCUCUUGUUCACACUACUUACUCUGGCCACCAACGACAACCCAGGCCAGACAGAGCAUCUCUUUUUUUUUUUUUUUUUUUUUUUUUUUGAGACAGAGUCUCUGUCGCCCAGGCUGGAGCCCAGUGGCGAGAUCUUGGCUCACUACAACCUCCGCCUCCCGGGUUCAGGCAAUUCUCGUGCCUAAGCCUCCCGAGUAGCUGCGACUACAGGCGCCGGCCACCAUGCCUGUCUAAUUUUUGUGUUUUAGUAGAGGCAGGGUUUCACCAUGUUGCCCAGGUUGGUCUCGAACUCCUGAGCUCAGGCAGUCUACCCACCUCAGCCUCCCAAAGUGCUGGGAUUACAGGCGUGAGCCACCGCGCCCAGCCAGAACAUCUGUUUUUAUACCCAGAGAGCGCCCCUCGUUAGGACACAACCACGGUGCCCAGAGCCGGGAAGCCGCCCUCCUGGCGCCCAGCAUCUGAGCUUCUACACGUGAUGGGCGGGCUCAGGAGAGGACAGGGAGUCGUGGUGGAAGUUCCACAGCUGGCCGCGUGGGGGGGCCCUUGCACUGCACUGCCGCCUCCUGACUGCCCCGAUCCCCGCAGCUCCUGUGCCGGAUUUCAUUUCCCUCCUCUCUCCCAGGGUACCUGGCCCCAGCACUCUCCCAUCUGUUCUUGAGGAACCGACUCCUCUUCAGUUGCAACACCAGAGAGAAAGGGGCCUCCACAUGCCCAAGUACCCCUGCAGGAUGAAGGGGAGGCCGGCCCUUGAUGUGCCAUUUCUGAAUAAUAGUCACUGCCGCCGAGUCUAGGAUGUCCUGUUCUAACUCAGCCCUGCCUCGGAUGCACCACCGAUCUGUGCAGAGUGGGUGUGAGAGUGUGGGUGAGGGUCGAAAUGCCAAAGGUCUACUUUCCAGAAUCAAGUGCCUUCUGCAAAUCACGUUGGAAAAGUCCAAACCUGGAGAUGUCCCUGUGCCUCCGCCCCUACCCACCCCCUUUCCUUCAGCUGUGUUAGGAAGAAGUUUUCAGAACCCUUCUAGGCUGGUGGCUUUCAAACUUCAGACCAUGAUCUUCAGCAAGAAACGUGCCUUCCAUCAUAAAUCAGUCCAUUUGUUUACAACUGUGUUCCAAGCAGGUUUCAUAAAGAAAUUCUUACCCUUAGAACCUCGGAUAUCCUCUAUGUUUUAGUUUUCAUUUUUUUAAAAUGCUUCUUAAAAUUCACUAAAUUGGGCUAGGUGUGGGUCAUGCCUGUAAUCCCAGCACUAUGGGAGGCUGAGGUGAGAGGAUCACUUGAGCCCAGAAGGCUGGUCUCGAACUCCUGACCUCAGGUGAUCCAUCCGCCUCGGCCUCCCAAAGUGCUGGGAUUACAGGCGGGAGCCACCAUGCCUGGCCAGAACAAAUGCCUUUUUAAACCUUUUAAGAACAUUUUUUAAAUGUCUUUUUCUAUGUCAAAUGUAACGUUUAUUUUUUUAAACAAUAAAAUUGAUUUGCCAAAA